rnacentral:rRNA from 1 species
AGCAGCCGCGGUAAUUCCAGCUCCAAUAGCGUAUAUUAAAGUUGUUGCAGUUAAAAAGCUCGUAGUUGAAUUUCGGGACUAAUAUGUCGGUCGUGCCUCGGUACGAACUGGUUUAUUGGUUUCUCCUUUCUGAAGAACCAUGAUGUCAUUUAUUUGGUGUCGUGGGGAAUCAGGACUGUUACUUUUGAAAAAUUAGAGUGUUUAAAGCAGGCUCACGCUUGAAUACAUUAGCAUGGAAUAAUGAAAUAGGACGUUUGAUUCUAUUUUGUUGGUUUCUAGGAUCGACGUAAUGAUUAAUAGGGAUAGUUGGGGG